GCGGUAUCUCCGACCGUGCUAAGGUAGCAUAAUAAACCGCCUACUAAUUAUAGGAUAGAAUGAAGGUAAAACGAAGACCCAACUGUCUCAAGACCCUAAAAUCAAAAAUAGAAUGUGUGUGCAAAUCCACACUAAAACGGCAAGACGACUAGACCCUAAGAACUUUACCUAAGACUUUAACCAUUUAAAAGUUCUAAGUUUCGUUGGGGCAACGAUCUUUAAAAAAGUAACUAAGACUAAUCAAUCAUAACACAAACUAACAAUAACUUCAAACAGAUAAAACCCAUUAAUCUAAAACUUAAUGGAAAAAAAUAAAAGUUCCUUAGGGAUAACAGCGUUAUAUCGUUCUUUAGAAAAUAUUCAAACGAUGUUUGCGACCUCGAUGUUGAAUUGCUAUAUCCCAAAAUGUAACCACAUUUAAAGGUUGGACUGUCCUUCCAUUAAAAUAGCACGUGAUCUGA
rnacentral:rRNA from 1 species